CGCUCUUGGGCGCCAGGCCUACACAUGCAAGUCGAGCGGAUGAAAGGAGCUUGCUCCUGGAUUCAGCGGCGGACGGGUGAGUAAUGCCUAGGAAUCUGCCUGGUAGUGGGGGACAACGUUUCGAAAGGAACGCUAAUACCGCAUACGUCCUACGGGAGAAAGCAGGGGACCUUCGGGCCUUGCGCUAUCAGAUGAGCCUAGGUCGGAUUAGCUAGUUGGUGAGGUAAUGGCUCACCAAGGCGACGAUCCGUAACUGGUCUGAGAGGAUGAUCAGUCACACUGGAACUGAGACACGGUCCAGACUCCUACGGGAGGCAGCAGUGGGGAAUAUUGGACAAUGGGCGAAAGCCUGAUCCAGCCAUGCCGCGUGUGUGAAGAAGGUCUUCGGAUUGUAAAGCACUUUAAGUUGGGAGGAAGGGCAGUAAAUUAAUACUUUGCUGUUUUGACGUUACCGACAGAAUAAGCACCGGCUAACUCUGUG
rnacentral:rRNA from 1 species